rnacentral:tRNA from 1 species
GUUCCCGUAGUUGAGAACAACAAUGGCUUUUCAAGCCGUAGUCCUUGGAAGACAUCCAAGCGGAAUA